rnacentral:rRNA from 1 species
AUACGUAGGGGGCUAGCGUUAUCCGGAUUUACUGGGCGUAAAGGGUGCGUAGGUGGUUUCUUAAGUCAGGAGUGAAAGGCUACGGCUCAACCGUAGUAAGCUCUUGAAACUGGGAAACUUGAGUGCAGAAGAGGGAAGUGGAAUUCCAUGUGUAGCGGUGAAAUGCGUAGAGAUAUGGAGGAACACCAGUGGCGAAGGCGGCUUCCUGGUCUGUAACUGACACUGAGGCGCGAAAGCGUGGGGAGC